GUCUGUGGCCAUGCCACUCUGAACAAGCCCGAUCCCGUCUGAUCUCGGAAGCUAAGCAGGGUCGGGCCUGGUUGGUACUUGGAUGGGAGACCACCUAGGAAGACCACCUAGAAGGUGCUGUAGGCG
rnacentral:rRNA from 1 species